rnacentral:rRNA from 1 species
UACAGAGGUCUCAAGCGUUGUUCAGAAUUACUGGGCGUAAAGCGCGCGUAGGCGGCUCUUCAAGUCAGGCGUGAAAGCCCCGGGCUUAACUCGGGAACUGCGCUUGAUACUGUCGAGCUAGAGUGUGGAAGGGGCGAUUGGAAUUCCGUGUGUAGCGGUGAAAUGCGUAGAUAUACGGAGGAACACCAGAGGCGAAGGCGGAUCGCUGGGCCAACACUGACGCUGAUGUGCGAAAGCUAGGGGAGCAAACGGG